rfam:Halorientalis sp. IM1011, complete genome.
UCCGCGGUAGCUAAGUGGCCGAAGGCGGCGAGCUUAAGACUCGCUACGUAGGUAUUCGAGGGUUCGAAUCCCUCCCGCGGUA